CCCUUAGAUGUUCUGGGCUGCACGCGCGCUACACUGAAGCGUUCAACGAGUAUUCACCUUGCCCGGGAGGGUUGGGUAAUCUUUUGAAAACGCUUCGUGAUGGGGAUAGAUUAUUGCAAUUAUUAAUCUUCAACGAGGAAUUCCUAGUAAACGCAGAUCAUCAAUCUGCAUUGAUUACGUCCCUGCCCUUUGUACACACCGCCCGUCGCACCUACCGAUUGGAUGGUCCGGUGAAGCCUCGGGAUUGUGGUUCUUGCCGCUUUAUUGUGGCGUGACCGCGAGAACUUGUCUAAACCUUAUCAUCUAGAGGAAGGUGAAGUCGUAACA
rnacentral:rRNA from 1 species